AACGCGAAGAACCUUACCAAGGCUUGACAUGUUCUCGAUCGCCGUAGAGAUACGGUUUCCCCAUUGGGGCGGGUUCACAGGUGGUGCAUGGUUGUCGUCAGCUCGUGUCGUGAGAUGUUGGGUUAAGUCCCGCAACGAGCGCAACCCUCGUUCCAUGUUGCCAGCACGUCGUGGUGGGGACUCAUGGGAGACUGCCGGGGUCAACUCGGAGGAAGGUGAGGACGACGUCAAAUCAUCAUGCCCCUUAUGUCUUGGGCUUCACGCAUGCUACAAUGGCCGGUACAAUGGGUUGCGAUACUGUGAGGUGGAGCUAAUCCCAAAAAGCCGGUCUCAGUUCGGAUUGGGGUCUGCAACUCGACCCCAUGAAGUCGGAGUCGCUAGUAAUCGCAGAUCAGCAACGCUGCGGUGAAUACGUUCCCGGGUCUUGUACACACGC
rnacentral:rRNA from 1 species